ensembl:lncRNA
CAACAAAUUCUUUGCAUAUUUUAUUUGUAUUUUCUUCCAACUUUCAACUCACACGUGGUCAUAUUUUACAUCUUUGUAAUAAAACAUGAAUACAAUAGUUUUUUUGGGAUUUCAUAGAUCCAAAAUAUUUGACCUUUUUUUUGGAUCCAUAAAUUGAACCUGUUUUUGGGUGUGAGUGUAUUUGAUUGAGUUUAACACACUAACAGUACAUCUCAUGUUUUACCUUUGUACUUCCUGUCUCUCCUCCUCCUCCCUCCCUCUCUCUGGUCUUAAUUAACUGUCUCUCCUCCCCCUCCCUCCCUCUCUCUGGUCUUAAUUAACUGUCUCUCCUCCCCCUCCGGUCUUAAUUAACUUAACUUAAUUAACUUAAGGGUCAUGUGACAGGAAAUAAUCACCAGGCUAAUAAAUAAUAUGUGAUUUGAUGCAAAGUGUGAAUACAAGAACAAAACAUUUGACACUGAAUCAAUUCUUUUUUUUGUCUUCCUUUCUUUAAAUAAUCUGACAAAUGUGAAUGAGUGAAGGUUUCCUUUUUACAUUAUCAAACUCUGUGAGGCCUGUCCGUCGUAGCCUGAAGUCUAUCAAACUCCCUCUCUGUGAGGCCUGUCCGUCGUAGCCUGAAGUCUAUCAAACUCCCUCUCUGUGAGGCCUGUCCCUCGUAGCCUAUCAAACUCCCUCUCUGUGAGGCCUGUCCGUCGUAGCCUGAAGUCUAUCAAACUCCCUCUCUGUGAGGCCUGUCCGUCGUAGCCUGAAGUCUAUCAAACUCCCUCUCUGUGAGGCCUGUCCUCGUAGCCUAUCAAACUCCCUCUCUGUGAGGCCUGUCCCCUGAAGUCUAUCAAACUCCCUCUCUGUGAGGCCUGUCCGUCGUAGCCUGAAGUCUAUCAAACUCCCUCUCUGUGAGGCCUGUCCCUCGUAGCCUGAAGUCUAUCAAACUCCCUCUCUGUGAGGCCUGUAUCCUGAAACCAAGACUAAAUGUACAUAUUUGACAAAACAAUCACCAAAUAAACAAAAAUCAGACUUGUCUUGUGGAUAUCUGGUAGAUGUCAUCGUUUGAUGGCGUUAGCGAAACAUUUCUUAAUCUUCAUCAUCACAGUCAUCAUCAUUGCCAUCGCUAUUAUUACACAGGAAUUCAUUCAUAAAUGAAAAGUGAUGGUCUGUGUGGUGAUAGGAGUGAGGACUGUGAUCUAUUCCUGCUUGUCAAUCAUUGACACAGAGACUAGGAAACAAAACAGUAUUUACAGAAAUCAUAUUCACCCCCCCAAUGGGCUAAUUAAAAGAAAUAUAUAUAAAAAAUAAAUUAACUGAAAUAAAAUAAAUCAAACGUAAGAAAUUAAAUCAAAACAAAAUAAUAUGAAACCAAAAAUAUAUAAUUUACUCGAUAUGAGUUUAAGCCAACAGCAUCUGUUUUCUUUAAUAGGAAGUACUGCUUCAGACCAAUUCAAUCCAGGGUCAGACCAGUGCAUUCCAGGGUCAGUGUUAAACCUGUUCAAUUCAGUUUCGACCAGUUUGAACUUUCUGUGUUAGUCUGGACCACAUCUCCCACCCUUUAAAACUAGAAACAAAAGAGAAAUAAAGAAAAAAAAACAUAACAAAAUAACUAAACCCAAAAGCAACAAAACCCAUUUUUUUAGUAAUGUUAUUUUGUUCUGUGAAGCGAUAAGCGUUCUGUCCAUUAACAGUGAAUAUUCUCAAACAUUAAAAGUCCUAUAUGGGUCUGGUCAACCCCAGUCAAAGUCUAGCAGUAGAUUUGAUCUUCUCCUUACUUUAUAUCUUAGUUCAUUAAUAUAAGGAUCCCAUCAGGGGUGUCAUGUGGCUGUUAGGGUUGAAAUGGCAGACAAGAUGUCCUACAGUAGCUGUGAUGCUCUCUCUCUCUCUCUCUCGCUCUUCCUUCUCAAGUGAAACUCAUCACAGGAAGUAGAGUUUUAGUGGCUUUUCAACCUCUUAUUCUUCAUUUUUGUAGCUGUUGUUUACAGCUCGACCUCUCUCUCCUCGUCUGGUGCUGGUCUUCCCUCUCUCCUCGCCUGGUGCUCGUCUUCCUCUCUCUCCUCGUCUGGUGCUCGUCUUCCUCUCUCUCCUCGUCUGGUGCUAGUCUUCCUCUCUCUCCUCG